UACUCUGCAUCCCCAGAACCAGAACCAAACAUGGAGAAGCAGCAUCAAGUUCUUCUGCUCCACUAAUCUGUAACAAACUUCCAAAAACUGCAGAGAUGCUGAAUUCCUGGGUUCUCUGAAAUUAAGGUCAAUUAGGAUUUUCCACCUUGGAAGAGACAGCAUAAAGGACCUUGCUGUUCACAGUGAGAAGACCCCUCCCAGACAGACCGUGGCUCUCCUAGAUGAAGUUCGGAGGUCGGGACAGAGCACCAGGAACUCUCGGGCUCUUGGACCAGGUGUUGAGAUUUAAAAAAAUAUUCCCCUCUUAUCAAGACACGUAAUGGGUCAGAACAGUUCUAAGGAAUUGCCUCCUCCCCAGGGAGAAACAUUUCAUUUUUUGUUGAGAAAAUAUGGUCCUAAGAGCAUCGAGUGCAUUCAUUCAUUUCAGUCUAUAGUCCAACUUUUCUUUAUCAUGCCACAGCAGUACUUCAUGGGUUUCUGUCACUGCAAUUUACUCUUUUUAUCAUCUAAAGCACUUUGAAUUAUCUUGUUGCUGAAAUGUGCUCUACACAUAAAAAUAAAUUGCCUUGAAGUUCUGU